rnacentral:rRNA from 1 species
UGGGGAAUAUUGGACAAUGGGCGCAAGCCUGAUCCAGCCAUGCCGCGUGAGUGAUGAAGGCCUUAGGGUUGUAAAGCUCUUUCACCGAUGAAGAUAAUGACGGUAGUCGGAGAAGAAGCCCCGGCUAACUUCGUGCCAGCAGCCGCGGUAAUACGAAGGGGGCUAGCGUUGUUCGGAAUUACUGGGCGUAAAGCGCACGUAGGCGGAUAUUUAAGUCAGGGUGAAAUCCCGCAGCUCAACUGCGGAACUGCCUUUGAUACUGGGUAUCUUGAGUAUGGAAGAGGUAAGUGGAAUUCCGAGUGUAGAGGUGAAAUUCGUAGAUAUUCGGAGGAACACCAGUGGCGAAGGCGGCUUACUGGUCCAUUACUGACGCUGAGGUGCGAAAGCGUGGGGAGCAAACAGGAUUAGAUACCC